AACGAACGCUGGCGGCAGGCUUAACACAUGCAAGUCGAACGAUGUAGCAAUACAUAGUGGCGCACGGGUGAGUAACGCGUGGGAAUAUACCUUAUAGUGGGAAUAACUUUGGGAAACUAAAGCUAAUACCGCAUACGCCCGAGAGGGAAGAUUUAUCGCUAUAAGAUUAGCCCGCGUGAGAUUAGGUAGUUGGUGGGGUAAUGGCCUACCAAGCCUACGAUCUCUAGCUGGUCUGAGAGGAUGAUCAGCCACACUGGAACUGAGACACGGUCCAGACUCCUACGGGAGGCAGCAGUGGGGGAAUAUUGGGCAAUGGACGAAAGUACUGACCCAGCCAUGCCGCGUGAAUGAUGAAGGCCUUAGGGUUGGUAAAGUUACUUUCGUCCGACUGAAGAAGUAAUAGACGGU
rnacentral:rRNA from 1 species